ACGGAGGGGGUUAGCGUUGUUCGGAAUUACUGGGCGUAAAGCGUACGUAGGCGGAUUAGAAAGUAUGGGGUGAAAUCCCAGGGCUCAACCCUGGAACUGCCUCAUAAACUUCUAGUCUAGAGUCCGAGAGAGGUGAGUGGAAUUGUGAGUGUAGAGGUGAAAUUCGUAGAUAUUCACAGGAACACCAGUGGCGAAGGCGGCUCACUGGCUCGGUACUGACGCUGAGGUACGAAAGUGUGGGGAGCAAACAGG
rnacentral:rRNA from 1 species